rnacentral:ncRNA from 1 species
CUUCAGGGUAGGGUGUAAUUCCCAACCGGCGGUAAACCCCGCGAGCCUAAAGGCAUGAACCGAGUGAAAUUCCGGUGGCGACAGUAUAGUCUGGAUGAAAGAAG